ACGCUGGCGGCGUGCCUAAUACAUGCAAGUCGAACGCACAGCGAAAGGUGCUUGCACCUUUCAAGUGAGUGGCGAACGGGUGAGUAACACGUGGACAACCUGCCUCAAGGCUGGGGAUAACAUUUGGAAACAGAUGCUAAUACCGAAUAAAACUUAGUGUCGCAUGGCACAAAGUUAAAAGGCGCUUCGGCGUCGCCUAGAGAUGGAUCCGCGGUGCAUUAGUUAGUUGGUGGGGUAAAGGCCUACCAAGACAAUGAUGCAUAGCCGAGUUGAGAGACUGAUCGGCCACAUUGGGACUGAGACACGGCCCAAACUCCUACGGGAGGCUGCAGUAGGGAAUCUUCCACAAUGGGCGAAAGCCUGAUGGAGCAACGCCGCGUGUGUGAUGAAGGCUUUCGGGUCGUAAAGCACUGUUGUAUGGGAAGAACAGCUAGAAUAGGAAAUGAUUUUAGUUUGACGGUACCAUACCAGAAAGGGACGGCUAAAUACGUGCCAGCAGCCGCGGUAAUACGUAUGUCCCGAGCGUUAUCCGGAUUUAUUGGGCGUAAAGCGAGCGCAGACGGUUUAUUAAGUCUGAUGUGAAAGCCCGGAGCUCAACUCCGGAAUGGCAUUGGAAACUGGUUAACUUGAGUGCAGUAGAGGUAAGUGGAACUCCAUGUGUAGCGGUGGAAUGCGUAGAUAUACGGAAGAACACCAGUGGCGAAGGCGGCUUACUGGACUGCAACUGACGUUGAGGCUCGAAAGUGUGGGUAGCAAAC
rnacentral:rRNA from 1 species